rnacentral:rRNA from 1 species
CAGCAGCCGCGGGAAUACAGAGGGUGCGAGCGUUGUCCGGAAUUAUUGGGCGUAAAGGGCUCGCAGGCGGUUUCUUAAGUCUGAUGUGAAAGCCCCCGGCUCAACCGGGGAGGGUCAUUGGAAACUGGGAAACUUGAGUGCAGAAGAGGAGAGUGGAAUUCCACGUGUAGCGGUGAAAUGCGUAGAGAUGUGGAGGAACACCAGUGGCGAAGGCGACUCUCUGGUCUGUAACUGACGCUGAGGAGCGAAAGCGUGGGGAGCGAACAGGAUUAGAUACCCCAGUAGUCCCUGUCUCUUAUAA